UACGUAGGGUGCGAGCGUUAAUCGGAAUUACUGGGCGUAAAGCGUGCGCAGGCGGCGCCGCAAGUCAGGCGUGAAAUCCCCCGAGCUUAACUUGGGAAUGGCGCUUGAAACUACGGUGCUGGAGUGUGGCAGAGGGAGGUGGAAUUCCACGUGUAGCGGUGAAAUGCGUAGAGAUGUGGAGGAACACCGAUGGCGAAGGCAGCCUCCUGGGCCAACACUGACGCUCAUGCACGAAAGCGUGGGGAGCAAACAGG
rnacentral:rRNA from 1 species